UACGUAGGGUGCGAGCGUUAAUCGGAAUUACUGGGCGUAAAGGGCGCGUAGGCGGCAAUUCAAGUCAUCUGUGAAAUCUCCGGGCUUAACUCGGAACGGUCAGAUGAUACUGCUUUGCUAGAGUGCGGAAGGGGCAAUCGGAAUUCUCGGUGUAGCGGUGAAAUGCGUAGAUAUCGAGAGGAACACCUGAGGUGAAGACGGGUUGCUGGGCCGACACUGACGCUGAGUGCGCGAAAGCCAGGGGAGCAAACGGG
rnacentral:rRNA from 1 species